rnacentral:rRNA from 1 species
GGGUUGUGAGGUUAAGCGACUAAGCGUACACGGUGGAUGCCCUGGCAGUCAGAGGCGAUGAAGGACGUGCUAAUCUGCGAUAAGCGUCGGUAAGGUGAUAUGAACCGUUAUAACCGGCGAUUUCCGAAUGGGGAAACCCAGUGUGUUUCGACACACUAUCAUUAACUGAAUCCAUAGGUUAAUGAGGCGAACCGGGGGAACUGAAACAUCUAAGUACCCCGAGGAAAAGAAAUCAACCGAGAUUCCCCCAGUAGCGGCGAGCGAACGGGGAGCAGCCCAGAGCCUGAAUCAGUGUGUGUGUUAGUGGAAGCGUCUGGAAAGGCGCGCGAUACAGGGUGACAGCCCCGUACACAAAAAAAUGCACAUGCUGUGAGCUCGAUGAGUAGGGCGGGACACGUGGUAUCCUGUCUGAAUAUGGGGGACCAUCCUCCAAGGCUAAAUACUCCUGACUGACCGAUAGUGAACCAGUACCGUGAGGGAAAGGCGAAAAAGAACCCCGGCGAGGGGAGUGAAAAAAAGAACCUGAAACCGUGUACGUACAAGCAGUGGGAGCCUCUUUAUGGGGUGACUGCGUACCUUUUGUAUAAUGGGUCAGCGACUUAUAUUCUGUAGCAAGGUUAACCGAAUAGGGGAGCCGAAGGGAAACCGAGUCUUAACUGGGCGUUAAGUUGCAGGGUAUAGACCCGAAACCCGGUGAUCUCAGCCAUGGGCAGGUUGAAGGUUGGGUAACACUAACUGGAGGACCGAACCGACUAAUGUUGAAAAAUUAGCGGAUGACUUGUGGCUGGGGGUGAAAGGCCAAUCAAACCGGGAGAUAGCUGGUUCUCCCCGAAAGCUAUUUAGGUAGCGCCUCGUGAAUUCAUCUCCGGGGGUAGAGCACUGUUUCGGCAAGGGGGUCAUCCCGACUUACCAACCCGAUGCAAACUGCGAAUACCGGAGAAUGUUAUCACGGGAGACACACGGCGGGUGCUAACGUCCGUCGUGAAGAGGGAAACAACCCAGACCGCCAGCUAAGGUCCCAAAGUCAUGGUUAAGUGGGAAACGAUGUGGGAAGGCCCAGACAGCCGGGGAUGUUGGCUUAGAAGCAGCCAUCAUUUAAAGAAAGCGUAAUAGCUCACUGGUCGAGUCGGCCUGCGCGGAAGAUGUAACGGGGCUAAACCAUGCACCGAAGCUGCGGCAGCGACGCUUAUGCGUUGUUGGGUAGGGGAGCGUUCUGUAAGCCUGUGAAGGUGUGCUGUGAGGCAUGCUGGAGGUAUCAGAAGUGCGAAUGCUGACAUAAGUAACGAUAAAGCGGGUGAAAAAGCCCGCUCGCCGGAAGACCAAGGGUUCCUGUCCAACGUUAAUCGGGGCAGGGUGAGUCGACCCCUAAGGCGAGGCCGAAAGGCGUAGUCGAUGGGAAACAGGUUAAUAUUCCUGUACUUGGUGUUACUGCGAAGGGGGGACGGAGAAGGCUAUGUUGGCCGGGCGACGGUUGUCCCGGUUUAAGCGUGUAGGCUGGUUUUUCCGUGCAAAUCCGGAAAAAUCAAGGCUGAGGCGUGAUGACGAGGCACUACGGUGCUGAAGCAACAAAUGCCCUGCUUCCAGGAAAAGCCUCUAAGCAUCAGGUAACAUCAAAUCGUACCCCAAACCGACACAGGUGGUCAGGUAGAGAAUACCAAGGCGCUUGAGAGAACUCGGGUGAAGGAACUAGGCAAAAUGGUGCCGUAACUUCGGGAGAAGGCACGCUGAUAUGUAGGUGAAGUCCCUCGCGGAUGGAGCUGAAAUCAGUCGAAGAUACCAGCUGGCUGCAACUGUUUAUUAAAAACACAGCACUGUGCAAACACGAAAGUGGACGUAUACGGUGUGACGCCUGCCCGGUGCCGGAAGGUUAAUUGAUGGGGUUAGCGGUAACGCGAAGCUCUUGAUCGAAGCCCCGGUAAACGGCGGCCGUAACUAUAACGGUCCUAAGGUAGCGAAAUUCCUUGUCGGGUAAGUUCCGACCUGCACGAAUGGCGUAAUGAUGGCCAGGCUGUCUCCACCCGAGACUCAGUGAAAUUGAACUCGCUGUGAAGAUGCAGUGUACCCGCGGCAAGACGGAAAGACCCCGUGAACCUUUACUAUAGCUUGACACUGAACAUUGAGCCUUGAUGUGUAGGAUAGGUGGGAGGCUUUGAAGUGUGGACGCCAGUCUGCAUGGAGCCGACCUUGAAAUACCACCCUUUAAUGUUUGAUGUUCUAACGUUGACCCGUAAUCCGGGUUGCGGACAGUGUCUGGUGGGUAGUUUGACUGGGGCGGUCUCCUCCUAAAGAGUAACGGAGGAGCACGAAGGUUGGCUAAUCCUGGUCGGACAUCAGGAGGUUAGUGCAAUGGCAUAAGCCAGCUUGACUGCGAGCGUGACGGCGCGAGCAGGUGCGAAAGCAGGUCAUAGUGAUCCGGUGGUUCUGAAUGGAAGGGCCAUCGCUCAACGGAUAAAAGGUACUCCGGGGAUAACAGGCUGAUACCGCCCAAGAGUUCAUAUCGACGGCGGUGUUUGGCACCUCGAUGUCGGCUCAUCACAUCCUGGGGCUGAAGUAGGUCCCAAGGGUAUGGCUGUUCGCCAUUUAAAGUGGUACGCGAGCUGGGUUUAGAACGUCGUGAGACAGUUCGGUCCCUAUCUGCCGUGGGCGCUGGAGAACUGAGGGGGGGCUGCUCCUAGUACGAGAGGACCGGAGUGGACGCAUCACUGGUGUUCGGGUUGUCAUGCCAAUGGCACUGCCCGGUAGCUAAAUGCGGAAGAGAUAAGUGCUGAAAGCAUCUAAGCACGAAACUUGCCCCGAGAUGAGUUCUCCCUGACUCCUUGAGAGUCCUGAAGGAACGUUGAAGACGACGACGUUGAUAGGCCGGGUGUGUAAGCGCAGCGAUGCGUUGAGCUAACCGGUACUAAUGAACCGUGAGGCUUAACCUUACAACGCCGAAG